CACGUAGGAGGCAAACGUUAUCCGGAUUUACUGGGCGUAAAGCGCGUGUAGGUGGUUCUGUAAGUAGGGCGUGAAAGCUCCCGGCUCAACUGGGAGAGGCCGUUCUAUACUGCAGAGCUAGAGGAUGGUAGAGGGAGGUGGAAUUCCAGGUGUAGCGGUGGAAUGCGCAGAUAUCUGGAGGAACACCAGUGGCGAAGGCGGCCUCCUGGACCAUUCCUGACACUCAGACGCGAAAGCUAGGGGAGCAAACAGGAUUAGAUACCCGGGGUAGU
rnacentral:rRNA from 1 species